rnacentral:rRNA from 1 species
AUUGAACGCUGGCGGAAUGCUUUACACAUGCAAGUCGAACGGCAGCACGGGGGCAACUCUGGUGGCGAGUGGCGAACGGGUGAGUAAUACAUCGGAACGUGCCCAGUCGUGGGGGAUAACGUAGCGAAAGUUACGCUAAUACCGCAUACGACCUUUGGAUGAAAGCGGGGGACCGUAAGGCCUCGCGCGGCUGGAGCGGCCGAUGUCAGAUUAGGUAGUUGGUGGGGUAAAGGCCUACCAAGCCUGCGAUCUGUAGCUGGUCUGAGAGGACGACCAGCCACACUGGGACUGAGACACGGCCCAGACUCCUACGGGAGGCAGCAGUGGGGAAUUUUGGACAAUGGGCGCAAGCCUGAUCCAGCCAUUCCGCGUGCAGGAUGAAGGCCCUCGGGUUGUAAACUGCUUUUGUACGGGGCGAAACAGCGUUCUCUAAUACAGGGCGCUAAUGACGGUACCGUAAGAAUAAGCACCGGCUAACUACGUGCCAGCAGCCGCCGUAA